AAGCUACACUACUCAUCCAAACGCGGUCAAUAUCAAAAGGAUAAUUAUAUUCUUGAUCAUGAUCAUGAUCACCGGCCUGAGAUGAAUAGUUUGCCAGCAGCAGCUCCAGCUCCUUCACCUUGGUGGUUGGUACCAUUACCGGUCCACUGCAUAGCUGAAUCCGUGAAGAACCAACUGCCAGUGGUGCAAUACUGGGACUUCCUCAAGAUCAAAACAGGCCAACCAGAAGCAGAAGCAGAAGAUGACUCCAAUACCAAUGAUCAUAUGUGUAUUGUGUGCAUGAAUAGCAUGGAAGGUAGCCAAGGGGUCAGAAAACUCUGCAAUUGUUCACAUGCUUUUCACAAAGAGUGCUUAGAUGUUUGGAUCGACGAGGGUCACCUCACAUGUCCUCUCUGUAGAUCUGACCUAUUGCCUAAUUCCACUCCAAAAUCAAAUCAUCAUCAUCACCAUAAGGAGAUGGGAGAAUUUAUUAGAGAGGAUCGAUGGAGGGCCGAGAGGAUGAUUUACUUGUUUGGUGAGGAUGAGCUUGCCUAA
rnacentral:lncRNA from 1 species